rnacentral:rRNA from 1 species
GGCGUAAAGCGCAUGCAGGUGGAUUGGUAUGUCAAUUGUGAAAUACCUGGGCUCAACCCGGGAACUGCAGUUGAAACUGCCUUUCUUGAAUGCUGUAGAGGGGGGUAGAAUUUC